rnacentral:tRNA from 1 species
AAGGCUUUAAGUUAAAAAAAACUAGUACCCUUCAAAGCUAUCUAUAAAGAAAUAAUCUUUAAGUCUUA